rnacentral:tRNA from 1 species
GCCGCUGUAGCUCAGCAGGCAGAGCGCCUCACUUGUAAUGAGGAAGUCGGGAGUUCGAUUCUCCCCAGCGGCUCCA